rnacentral:rRNA from 1 species
UACGGAGGGGACUAGCGUUGUUCGGAAUUACUGGGCGUAAAGCGCACGUAGGCGGAUUUGUAAGUCAGGGGUGAAAUCCCGGGGCUCAACCUCGGAACUGCCUUUGAUACUGCAAAUCUCGAGUCCGGAAGAGGUGAGUGGAAUUCCUAGUGUAGAGGUGAAAUUCGUAGAUAUUAGGAAGAACACCAGUGGCGAAGGCGGCCUCG